GACGAACGCUGGCGGCGUGCCUAACACAUGCAAGUCGAACGAGUCCACUCUUUCGGGAGUGAGGCGAGUGGCGGACGGGUGAGUAACACGUGAGCAAUCUAUCCUGUUGCGGGGGACAACGAGGGGAAACCUUCGCUAAUACCGCAUGGUCGAGAGCCUCCAUGAGGUUUUCGGGAAACGUGGCCUCUUUACAAUGCUACGGUGGCAGGAGGAGCUCGCGGGCUAUCAGCUAGUUGGCGGGGUAAUGGCCCACCAAGGCGAUGACGGGUAGCUGGUCUGAGAGGAUGGCCAGCCACAUUGGGACUGAGAGACGGCCCAGACUCCUACGGGAGGCAGCAGUGGGGAAUCUUGCGCAAUGGUCGAAAGACUGACGCAGCGACGCCGCGUGCGGGGGGAAGCUCUUCGGGGUGUAAACCGCUGUUGCCCGGAACGAAACGGUUCGUGCUAACACCACGGACUAAUGACGGUACUCGCAGAAGAAGCACCGGCUAACUACGUGCCAGCAGCCGCGGUAAUACGUAGGGUGCAGGCGUUAAUCGGAAUUACUGGGCGUAAAGCGUGCGCAGGCGGCUCCUUAAGUCAGAUGUGAAA
rnacentral:rRNA from 1 species